UGAUCACGAACAUGCGCCGGGCCCGGGUCACGAACUCCUGCAGCAGCUCCAGCGAGCGGACAUCUGUGGUACUGCAGGGGGGAACGAAGUUCAGCUGACCAGCAGCGACGACCGAGGACGCUGCGCGUACGGAAGCCGGCUCCAACUCAAACUCUGGAAAACAUCACAUUUGGGAUCAGCAUGAAAGACUCACAAAUGGACUACAUUGUAAAUAAUUUGUUCCUGCUUUCAAAAUGUUUCAUUCAUUCUUCAAAAUGGAAAAAAGUUAGAUAUGUCUUCAUAGUGUUUAAGAAGCAACUACAAGAAAAUUAUACAAAAUCCUUGAAAUGUAUGCAAAGUGAAAAUGCUAAAAAAAAAUAAAAAUAAAUUACUCUGAGACCUCAGAAAUAGA